GUUGCAUAAUUUGCAAGGACUGCGUACAAAACUCGAAAUCAGGCGUACGUGCGAACGUACCGAGGGUUCGAAUCCCUCCCUCUCCGCCA
rnacentral:tRNA from 1 species